rnacentral:tRNA from 1 species
GAGGCUGUGGCUCAGUGGUAGAGCACUUGCCUAGCAUGUGUGAGGCCCUGGGUUCAAUCCUCAGCUUCA